rnacentral:rRNA from 1 species
CCUACGGGAGGCAGCAGUGAGGAAUAUUGGUCAAUGGACGAGAGUCUGAACCAGCCAAGUAGCGUGAAGGAUGACUGCCCUAUGGGUUGUAAACUUCUUUUAUAUGGGAAUAAAAUGUUCCACGUGUGGGAUUUUGUAUGUACCAUAUGAAUAAGGAUCGGCUAACUCCGUGCCAGCAGCCGCGGUAAUACGGAGGAUCCGAGCGUUAUCCGGAUUUCUUGGGUUUAAAGGGAGCGUAGGUGGAUUGUUAAGUCAGUUGUGAAAGUUUGCGGCUCAACCGGAAAAUUGCAGUUGAAACUGGCAGUCUUGAGUACAGUAGAGGUGGGCGGAAUUCGUGGUGUAGCGGUGAAAUGCUUAGAUAUCACGAAGAACUCCGAUUGCGAAGGCAGCUCACUGGACUGCAACUGACACUGAGGCUCGAAAGUGUGGGUAUCAAACAGGAUUAGAUACCCGGGUAGUC